CAGAAGUCAGGUCGGAUUAAGCCAUAGUACGGAAAAAACUAUGCUACCUGUGAGCCCCGUCCAAGGACGUAAAAAGAAGUCAGGCCACUACAAGUGCCAUAGCUUGAGUAAACUAUGCAGCCUGUAGCUCCACCUGAGAAGGUGUAAAAAAUCUGGGAGGCCACAAACCAUGGAAGCUGUACGCAUGGCGUAGUGGACUAGCGGUUAGAGGAGACCCCUCCCUUACAAAUCGCAGCAACAAUGGGGGCCCAAGGUGAGAUGAAGCUGUAGUCUCACUGAAAGGACUAGAGGUUAGAGGAGACCCCCCCGAAAUAAAAAACAGCAUAUGAC
rnacentral:lncRNA from 1 species